ACUGGGGUGGCAGAGCAUGGUUAAUUGCGAAAGGCCUAAGCCCUUUAUACCAGAGGUUCAAAUCCUCUUCCCAGUU
rnacentral:tRNA from 1 species